GGGUCGGUGCCCGAGUGGCCAAAGGGAGCAGACUGUAAAUCUGCCGGUUCUGCCUACGGUGGUUCGAAUCCACCCCGGCCCA
rnacentral:tRNA from 1 species